rnacentral:rRNA from 1 species
AGAGUUUGAUCAUGGCUCAGAACGAACGCUGGCGGCGCGUUUUAAGCAUGCAAGUCGAGCGGCAAGGGCCUUCGGGCCCCUAGAGCGGCGGACGGGUGAGUAACACGUGGACAAUCUGCCCCCCGGCCGGGGAUAGCCCAGGGAAACCUGGAUUAAUACCGGAUGAGACGGGACCCGCGGAGGCGGGAUCCGGGAAAGGCGCUGCGGCGCCGCCGGGGGAUGAGUCUGCGUCCCAUUAGCUUGACGGCGGGGUAACGGCCCACCGUGGCGACGAUGGGUAGCCGGCCUGAGAGGGUGUACGGCCACAUUGGAACUGAGACACGGUCCAGACUCCUACGGGAGGCAGCAGCUAAGAAUCUUCCGCAAUGGGCGAAAGCCUGACGGAGCGACGCCGCGUGAACGAAGAAGGCCGUGAGGUUGUAAAGUUCUUUUCGGGAGGGGGAACAACCGUGGCAGGGAAUGGCCGCGGGAUGACGUGAAUCCCGGAAUAAGCCCCGGCUAACUACGUGCCAGCAGCCGCGGUAACACGUAGGGGGCGAGCGUUGUUCGGAAUCAUUGGGCGUAAAGGGCGUGCAGGCGGUCCUGCAAGUCCGGCGUGAAAGACCCCGGCCCAACCGGGGGGGCGCGCUGGGAACUGCAGGGCUUGAGUACAGGAGGGGAUGCCGGAAUUCCAGGUGUAGGGGUGAAAUCUGUAGAUAUCUGGAGGAACACCAAUGGCGAAGGCAGGCAUCUGGCCAUGUACUGACGCUGAGACGCGAAAGUGCGGGGAGCAAACAGGAUUAGAUACCCUGGUAGUC